AGUGAACGCUGGCGGUAGGCCUAACACAUGCAAGUCGAACGGCAGCACAGUAAGAGCUUGCUCUUACGGGUGGCGAGUGGCGGACGGGUGAGGAAUACAUCGGAAUCUACUUUUUCGUGGGGGAUAACGUAGGGAAACUUACGCUAAUACCGCAUACGACCUACGGGUGAAAGCAGGGGAUCUUCUGACCUUGCGCGAUUGAAUGAGCCGAUGUCGGAUUAGCUAGUUGGCGGGGUAAAGGCCCACCAAGGCGACGAUCCGUAGCUGGUCUGAGAGGAUGAUCAGCCACACUGGAACUGAGACACGGUCCAGACUCCUAAGGGAGGCAGCAGUGGGGAAUAUUGGACAAUGGGCGCAAGCCUGAUCCAGCCAUACCGCGUGGGUGAAGAAGGCCUUCGGGUUGUAAAGCCCUUUUGUUGGGAAAGAAAAGCAGCAGGUUAAUACCACGCUGUUCUGACGGUACCCAAAGAAUAAGCACCGGCUAACUUCGUG
rnacentral:rRNA from 1 species